UUUUUUUUUUUUUUUUGCAUUUCUCUCUGUUUAAUGUCUUCGAUGCUCAAGUACCCAUUCAUUCAGUCAACAAGCAUAAAAUGCCUAUUCUAUGAUAGGCUCCACAGGUGGCACUGAAGAACUACAGAUAAUACAUGCUCUCAAGGCUCUCCAAUAAUUAGCUGAGGAAUCAGUUUAUACACCACCACGUACUAUACUAUAUGAUAGAUGCUACAACAUACAAGUGUUUGGGGAGCACAAUACAGGUGUUACUUGAGUCAUACCAUGAAGUACCCCUCCAACAGGCAAGCACAAGGUAAUGUAAUAACCCAUUAGAGCUAAAGCACAGGGGACAAAAAUAAUGUGCCUUUAAGGAAAAUUUUUUUUAUUAAAAGACUUCUCAUUAAAGGUUUAGUGAAGUAAAAAGCAGUAAAAAGUAAAGUAAAAAGAGUAAAAGGAGUCACAUGGAAAAUGAGGAAAGGAAAGGCAAUAUUGUGAUAAAGUAGAACUGGGGACCAGGUGGAGGUUAAGUUUAUUUAUUUAUUUAUUUAUUUUGGGGGGGGCACACCUAUGGCAUAUGGAAGGUCGGCAGGACAGGGGUCAAACAGGAGCUGCAGCUGCCAGCCUUCACCACAGCCACAGCAAUGCCAGGUCCGAGCCACGCCUGCAACCUACACCGCAGCUCACAGCAACACUAGAUCCUAAACCCACUGAGCGAGGCCAGGGAUUGAAUCUGCAUGAAUACUAGUUGGAUUUGUUACUGCUGAGCCACAAUGGGAACUCCGCAAUUCUUUUGCUUUUGCACCUCCAAAAACAACAUAAUCCUCUGAAAUCUUCAGUUUGACAUCUUAAAAAUUUUUGAUUUGGCUGCACCUGAGGCAUGUAGAAGUUUCUGGGCCAGGCACUGAACCCAAGCCACAUCAGUAACCCAAGCCACUGCAGUGACAACACUGGAUCCUUAACCCACUGUGCCACAAGGGAACUCGGACAUCUUAAGUUUUUAUCAUAAAUUUAAUGAAGGCAGAGAAUAUGAUUUCAAAGAUUAUAUAUAUGUAUUCUAUUUUUCCAGCUUUAAUGAGGUAAAACUAACAAACUAAAAUUAUAUAUUCAGGGUGUACAACAUGAUGAUUUAAUACACAUAUAUACUGUAUGAGAUGAUUACCACAAUCAAAAACACAUACAUCACUUACCUAGUUAACUUUUUUUGUGGUAAGAACAUUUAAGAUCUAGUCUCUUAGCAAAUUUCAAGUAUAAUACAGUACUACUAACAACAGUCAUCACACUAUGCAUUUCAUCUCUAAAGCUUAUUCAUCUCACAACUGCAAGUUUAACCAACAUCUAACUCAUUUCCCCCACCCCUUAGUCCCUGGAAACCAUCAUUCUGCUCCUGGUUCUGUGAGUCUGACUUUUUGAGAUUUCACAUAUAAAUGAUAUACGAUAUUUUUCUUUCUGUGUCACCUGGCUUAUUUCACUUAGCAUAAUGUCCUCCAGGUUCAUCCAUGCUGUCUCAACAGGCAAAGACUUCCUUCUGCUUUAUGAGUGACUAAUAUUUCACUAGGGCAUAUAUAUGCACACACCCAGGAUGUUUUGCUGUAACCCUGAGAACUGUAGAUUUCACUCAUUUACUUAAUAUGUCUACCAAACAAUCUAACUGCUAAGCAUGUCCUCACUGUCAAAUCAAUAAACCAAAUCAACUUACUAUCGGUCACAAAAGCCUGACUUCAUUUUUAAGUGCACUUAAAUGUGCUAAAUCUGCCAUCUCAGCAAACCCCCCUACACCACAACAAUCAAGUCCAAUCCCAAAGAAAUAAAUAAGGCAUGGAAAUCUGUCCUACAUUUGCUACCAAAAUAAAAUAAAGCUCUCCCCUGUAUGAGUCUGACCAAAGCUCUCUUUGCUUUGCUAUUUAUAAAUUCUUGCUCAGGAGCUAAGAAUUGUUAAAUGGUCCCUUUAUUGGGAGAAGCAGGUUUUUAUUCCCUGAGGCAAUCAACUACUGAAAGAUUCAGGCAGCGAAGUUAAGAGUGACUCAGUGAAGUGAAAGAAAAGCGAUUUGUGAAGGGGAAGGUAGGAAAGGAGAAUCUGCCAACCACAAGGGCUCCCAGGCAACCACUUUCAGGAAAGUAAAUAUGUGCAUUGAGCAACUAAGUAGCAUUUAAACUACUUCUGCAUGCAAAAUCCCUGUAAAGCUCCCAGGAAAACACCAGGUGUCCAUAUACUCCAGGUUGAAGACCACUAAUCUAAGAACAGCUCCAGAGUGGAACUCAGAAUUGAAAGCGAGGCACACCAACUGUGAAAACUAUCAACUAUUAUGUUCUAAUCAGAGAAGCAGAAUCAACAUACAGGGCAACAAGGUGAAAGCUCUAGGAUAUGUACGUUCAAAUUGGGAGUAAAGAGCUUGGACUCUGGAAUUAUAAAGUUCAGGGUUUGGAUUCCAGCUCUACCACUUAAGAGCCCCUAGGACUUCAAAUAUAAAUUCCUUUAUCUCCUUUUUCUUGGCAGACCUUUACUGACAUAUAAUUGAUGUAUAACACUGGAUAAAUUUAAGGUGUACAGCAUGAUCUAUAUACAUAUACAUAUUAUGAAAUGAUCACAAGAAGGUUAGUUAACACAUCCAUCACCUCACAGGUACAGUCUGUGUGGUGAGAAUUUUUAAGACCCACUCUCAUACAUAGAGCAUUGUUAACUACAGUCACCAUGCUGUAUAUUAGAUUAGAUUAGUUUGUAUCCUGCAACUCUACUGAAUUCACUUAUUAGUUCAAACAGUUUUUCAGUAGUCUUCAGGGUUUUCUACUUAGAAAACCAUGCCAUCAGCAAACAGGCAACUUGACUUCUUCGUUUUCAAUUCACAUGCCUGUUAUUUCUUCUCUUGCCUGACUGCUCUGGUAAGGACGUGCAGUACUACAUUGAAUAGGAAUGGUGGGAGUGGAUACCCUUGUCUUGUUGCUGAUCUUAGAAUAAAGGCUUUCCAUCUUUCACCACUGAGUAUGACGUCUGAUAUAUAUGCCUAUCAAUAAGUGUAGUACAUCCCAUUAGCAGAAUGAAAGAUAAAAAUCAGAUGAACAUCUCAAUACAUGCAAAAAAAAAGUACUGGACAGGGAGUUCCCGUCGUGGCGCAGUGGUUAACGAAUCCGACUAGGAACCAUGAGGUUGCGGGUUCGUCCCUGCCCUUGCUCAGUGGGUUAACCAUCCGGCGUUGCCGUGAGCUGUGGUGUAGGUUGCAGACGUGGCUCGGAUCCUGCGUUGCUGUGGCUCUGGCGUAGGCCGGUGGCUACAGCUCUGAUUCGACCCCUAGCCUGGGAACCUCCAUAUGCCGCGGGAGCGGCCCAAGAAAUAGCAACAACAACAACAAAAGACAAAAGACAAAAAAAAAGAAAAAAAAAAGUACUGGACAAAACUCAACAUUCACUUGAGAUAAAAAAAAAAAACUCUCAACAAACUGGAUAAAAAAGCAAUGUACUUCAACAUAAUAAAGGCCAUCUAUGACAAGUUCUUGGCCUCCUUAAGGCUCAGUUUACUCAUCUAUACAAAGGACUGAUGGUCAUCAUGUCAUGAUGAUAAUGCUAUGUUAUCUAUAAGUAACCACGCUUCACUGAAUUGCUGUAAUGGUGAUGAGACAGCGUGACACACGUAACACAAAGUCUCCAUUUUGCCUGAGUUGACUUGAUACUAUUAACAAGUCCUCUUACUCACAGCCUAACCUGCUGGACUGCAGACCAACUACUGGAAGAGUGAAGAGGUUACUGCACUCUCUUGUGCCAUGCUUUUAUGGAAGCAGAUCCCAAAAUCAUGGCUGUUCUAGCUGGACAAACUACGAAACAGUCUGUAGUUUGUCCAGUGUUGUAAAUACCACUGCAUGUGGCAAAUAGUAAGUAAGCAGAGAAUCAAGGCAUCAAGAGCUAUACCCCUAAGAUAAUAUGUUUGUUAACCUCAUUUAUCCUAAAGUCAAUUCUAGAAAUCUAUUUGUCUAAUAAGAAAAGACGGACAAUUUACUAUAUAUAAACAACAUAAACCUUCAAAAGAAUGUCAAAAUAGAAAGGCUACAUCCUUUAAGUUCUGUGAUCUGGGAGAGAAAAUGUACUAAUCUUUGGUAAAUGAUACUUUCCCAUUUGAGAUAUUAUUAAGAGGUGCUGUUUAUCUAAACCCAUUCAAGCAAACUCUUUGAUCUCUGCCUAAGAGAAGUUUCAUUUCUAAAAAUUCAAUUAAAACGUAUCUGUGAUUUAGACUGGUACCAUAUGGAGAUAAGUUUUACGAACCUCUGUAAGCAGAGACAUCUGAUGACACUGCAUACUUAAAAUGAAUUUUCUGUUACGGCAGCAAUACAGUAAUUUAGAAAUGGUAUCCUAGCUAAUUUCAUCACACUGUAACUUAAAGUUCUCUAUUUUAAAAUACAUAGCUUUCAAAACCAAAUCCUAUAAAUGAAAAUUUUAUUAAAAUGUUAAAUGCAUUAUUAUUAUAAUCUCUCCUUUAGAAACUAGAUUUAACUGUAAGGUAAUCUUGAUGUUUUGCCUUAUUCGGAGAAAUUGAGUGGCUUAUUAGAUAAGUGAAUUAGAGUGUGCACUAUAAUUUUUUGUUCCAUGAACUUUCUUAAUGUUACAUAACAAAAUGUAGUAUGAAAGAACUCUUGUAAAAUCAAUACAAUGAUACAAACUGCUUCAAGACAGAAAAAAAUCAAUUAUUCGCUAUAAAAAUCAGAGGGAAAUUUCAGGUUUAUGACAAGAUGAAAGCAGUUUUAAAAAUAUUUGAGGGAGGUCCUGUUGUGGCACAGCGGGAGGGUGAGGGUUCGAUCCCUGGCCUCGCUCAGUGGGCUAAGGAUCCAGCAUUGCCGUAAGCUGUGGUAUAAGCUGCAGAUGCAGCUUGGAUCCAGCAUUGCUGAGGCCGUGGUGUAGGCCAGCAGCAACAGUUCUGACUGGACCCCUAGCCUGGGAACCUCCAUAUGCCGUGGGUGUGGCCCUAAAAAGAAAAGACAAAAAAGACCAAAAAAAAAAAAAAAUUUUUUUUGAUAUUUAAAAACAAACCUAUUUAUGGAGUUCCCAUUGUGGCUCAGUGGUUAACGAAUCCGACUAGGAACCAUGAGGUUGCAGGUUCGGUCCCUGGCCUUGCUCAGUGGGUUAAGGAUCCGGCGUUGCCGGGACCUGUGGUGCAGGUCGUAGACGUGGCUCGGGUCCCGCGGUGCUGUGGCUCUGGUAUAGGCCGGCGGCUACACCUCUGAUUUGACCCCUAGCCUGGGAACCUCCAUAUGCUGCGGGAGCAGCCUAAGAAAUGGCAAAAAGACAAAAAAAAAACCUAUUUAUAAUAACCAAGAUAUCAUGUCCAUCAACAGAGGAAUGGAAAAAGAUGUGGUAUAUACAUACAAUGAAAUAUUACUCAGCCAUAAAAAUCAAAGAAAUAAUGCCAUUUGUAGCAACAUGGAUGGACCUAGAGGCGAUCAUGCUAAGUAAGUCAGAGAAAGACAUAUAACCAUAUGACUUAUAUCAAAUCAGAUUUUAAAAAAUGACACAAAUGAACUUAUUUACAAAACAGAAAUAGACACACGGACUUCAAAAACAAACUUAAGGUUACCAAAGCGAAAGGGUGGGGAAGGAGGGAUGGACUGGGGGUUUGGGAUUGGCAAAUGCACGCUGUGGUAUAUGGAAGGUCAAGAAGGACCUGCUGGAGAGCAGAGCAUUCUACUCAAUGCUCUAUGAUAACCUUUAUAGGAAUGUGCAUACAUGUUGCUUUAUGGCUGAAUCAUUUUGUUGUACAGCAGAAACUAACACAUUAUAAAUCAACUGUACUUCAAUAUUUUUUUUUUAAUUUUUAAAAAUUUAAAAAACCUAAUCCUCACAGUUUCUCUCAAAAACAUCAGAGAGGCUGACUCAGUCACAGACCACAUCCCUGAAGUCGUUUUACCUGCCUUUUAAGAUUGAUUCUCUCAAUACAAGAAUGAUUGCCUUUCUGAUAUUUCUUUUUCAACCUUACAGUCUACAGAAAUACCCAUAUAAGGAGAAUAAGAAGGACACACACACAUCAUAAAUCAUAGCAGACAGGUCAGCUUCAUGCUUAGUCCAUUCUUCAUUCAACACCCUUUCCAAGGUCAAGGCAACCUCAGCUCCCCUCGGGGGUUAACUACCACGUAAUCAUCACCCGGAUUACUGAGCUCCAGUCUCUUUUACAUGAAGCUUUUUAAGAAAACUGUUUUCCUUGUUUUCUUCCCACCUCUUUCAAAUAGAAAAGUAGAGGGGAGACAAUACAAUGAUCACUAAUAAACCCUUCCCCCAGAUUCAACAUUUGCUAACAACCCACCACAUUGGCUUCAUCUACCUUUCCAUAGAUGUGUACGUUCUUUUGUUCAUCCCUUUCAAAGUCACAGAAAUCGUAACUCAUCCCCCAAAUCUCCAACACGUGACUGUGAUUCUUAAGACUAGUAUCUCUUGGGAGCUCCCGCUGUGGCUCAGUGGUUAACGAAUCCGACUAGGAACCAUGAGGUUGCAGGUUCGGUCCCUGCCCUCGCUCAGUGGGUUAAGGAUCCGGCAUUGCUAUGAGGUGUGGUCUAGGCCAGCAGACACAGCUCCGAUUCGACCCCUAGCCUGGGAACCUCCAUAUGCCGAGUGUGCGGCCCUAAAAAGACCAAAAAAAAAAAAAAAAAAAAGUAACUGUUCUCUUGGGGGCAUUUACCUUGUUUCUCUAUCCUCUGUGGUUCCUAAAACAUGAAUUUGCUAUAGGCUUGAUGAGAGUCAAGUUAAAAUUUUAGAAAGAAUUACUUCACAGUGGUGAUGUUCUUUCAUCCAUCUAUACUUAGUAGGGGGACUUCUUCUGUGGCUAAGGCAGAGCUUUGCUUUUUGUUUUUCUCUCUCCUUCCCCUGACCCCACCACCCUUUUUGAGUACCACUAUGGACUAAGGGAUUGCUACCUUUUUGAAAUGUUGCAAGCAGUUAUUAUUCUUUCUUAAUACUCAAAUUGCCUCAAAUUCAAUAAUUAGGAGCUUCUUUAGGCCGCUUUUUUUAAAAAAAACCUGAGUUUUAAUAUAGUAUGAUUAACAUCAUCUUUUAAGUUAUUUCCCUACUGAAGAAAAUAGCCUACUCAUUCAUUCAAAUUAAUUCAAAAAUAUCUGUUAAGUAUUUACCAUGCCAGAUGCUUUUGUAGGUAUUGGGUAUAUAUUAAGGAGCAACAGCCACCCCUACUACCAUGGACCUUAUACUAUCAUUUAUGAAGACAAACAAGAGAAAGAAAAACAAUUGUGUAAUGUAUCAGAUAUGCACAGAAGAAAAAUAAAGCAGUACAAGGGAUAGAGAAUGAUAAAGAGUUGAUAUUUUAUUUUUGUCUUUUUUAGGGCCACACCCACAGCACAAGGAAGUUCCCAGGCUAGGAGUCGAUUCAGAGCUGCAGCUACCACCUACACCACAGCAACGCUGGAUCCAAGCUGCAUCGGCGACCUGCACUACAGCUGGUGGCAACACCAGAUCCUUAACCCACUGAGUGAGGCCAGAGAUCAAACCCACAUCCUCAUGGAUACUAGCUGGGUUCUUAACCCAAUAAGCCACAACAGAACUCCCAAGAGCUGAUAUUUUAAAUAAAGUUGAGAAAGCCUUCCCAAUAACAUUAGGCAGGGACCCAAAUGAAUGUGAGUCCGUAGCUUGUUAGCAUUUGGAGGAUGAGAAACCCAGACCAUGAGAACAGAGCAGAGGCCUUGCCUUAAGUCUUUGAAGAUCAGCAAGAGGCAGUGUGGCUGGAGUCCAGUAAGCGGGACAUAGUUGCAGAAUGUAAGAUCAGAGAAGAAUGAACCCUAACACCCACGUACACUCAGUGUAGGGACAUGUUUUUGUUUUGCAUUCUAUCAUAAAGGAACAAUUUUUCAAGCAGGGAACUCAGCAUGGUUCUGUGGGUUGAAAGGCAGCCUUAAAAAGAUACGAACAUGUCUUAACUUCAGAAACUUGUGAAUGUGACCUUAUUUGGAAAAAAGGAUAUUUGCAGAUAUAAUUAAGGAUCUUGAGAUAAGCGCCAUCCUGAAUCAUCUGGGUAGGCCCCAAAUCUAGGGACACCCAUUCUUUUAAGAGGCAGAAGAGAAGAGAGAAGAGAAAACCAUGGGAAGAAGGAGACAGAGACUGAGGUUAUACAACCAUGAGCCAAGGAACACCUCCCAGCAGGCUUUUGUGCAGAAACUGACAAACUGAUUCUAAAAUUUAUAUGGAAAAACAAAAGACCUAAACAAUUUUUACGAAGAACAAAGUUGGAGAAUACACACCAUGUGAUGUCAGGAUUUACUAUAAAGCUAGAAUAAUCAAAACGAUACAUCAUUAACAUAAAGACAGAUACACUGCAGUUCCCUAGGGGCCUAGCCAUUACAAAUCUGGUUGUCACUGCAGUGGCUCUGGUCACUGGCCUGGGAACGUCCUCAUGACACGGGGUGGCAAAAAAAAAAAAAAAAAAAAA
ensembl:lncRNA